GUGGGAUCAGAAACAAUUGUCAGGGUGGGAAACGGUUGGGAAUAUCUAUCGUCAUUUAUUUGCUGUUUUGUACGUUCAAUUAUUAAAUGCUUGGCGUUCACUUUCCUACACCUCUGCCUGCAGUCGUUUGUGCAGCACCAAAGCCCCCCCAGGUCCCCGUGCCCACCUCUGGGGAUGCCGGGGUGGCUGCAGCAAGCCAAGAGCUCCUCCAGUCUGAACAUCUCCAUCACCAUCGCUGCUGUCAACCUCUCUGUUGCCUUGUUUUGUUCCUGGGGAAGGCGACAGUCACGUGCUGAGCAGUGCAUGUGUUGAACUGGGGGCACUGAGCACUACUGGAGGCACUGGGAAGUCCACUGGGGGGCACUGGGAGGCUACUGAGGGCCGCAUACAGCACUGGGGUGGCUCCAGGCAGCACUGGGGGGCACUGAGUUUGCACAAGGAGACUCUGGACAAUACUGGGAGACAACGGGAGCUUAGUGGGGAACUGCAAAGAGCAGCAGGGGGCACUGGAGAGCUUUGGACAGCACUUGCAGGGUGGGAGGAGGUUCCCAACGUACCCGGGCGGCACCUUUUAACCUCAUUAAUUUGCUGUUCUCCAACAUCCCACCCACGGCAUUAAGCAAUCCAUUUCUUCCAUGGGGGAGGCUUUCUCCUUGGGGCUGACCCCCCCCCCCAGCGCCGCUUGGCUCUGCCCUGGGCACUGUGUUCCACGCAUUCCCACCCUGAUGCUGUCACUCAGUGACACAUUUGUCACCAACAGACUCCCCGUGGGUCCUGAGGUGGGCUGGGGGGUGUCCUGUGAAAGCAACCCCAGUGACAGCCCCCAGCCCUAGAAGGCACAGAUCCUGGAAAACCACCUUUAAUGCUGCCAAAAUCAGCUUCAUCUCAUCACCCUGGGACUCCAUUUGGGGGCUCUGUGGAAGCUUCCCCUGUUUCAAGCUGGUGCUACCCCGUGCUUGUUGACGAUGCUUCAUGCUCUGGCAUACACGCCUGCAGAGGUUAAAUCUGCUCUGCACCCUCGCUUCAAGUCAGACCUUUUUCAAGCACACCCUUACCUGCCUUUGCUAGGCAAG
rnacentral:lncRNA from 1 species